AAGUUUUUUUUAAAUGCAGUUUCCUGGCCGUACAACCAGAGAACUUUAUUUGCAGGUCUGGGGAGGGUCAAGAAUCUGCAUAUAAAAACAAGCUCUCAAACACACUUUGAACUUCCCCGAACACAAUUUGAGAAACACUUUGGGACUCCCCCUACAGUUACAGAAUUAUUUUCUAAAGUACAUUAUCUUGUUAUAUCACUCCUGUUUAAAGUUGAUUUUUAUCCCCUAUCUUACAGGAUAAAGUCCAAAUUCCCUAGUGUGGCAUUCAAGGCACUCCAAAAUCUUACUCCCAAACACCUUCCUAGCUUUUUUCUCCGACCAUUCUGCGUCUCUCAUUCCUAUUUCCCGCAGCAUUUCAUGCAGCUUGAGCCCCUGUUUCCUAAAAUGUGCUCCCCGCAAGCAUCUCGAGACCCCCAUCCCAGGCAGCCCCAGGCAGUUUUUAAGUUUCUACCAAGCUCCACUAUACUGGCAAGGCAACUUUCCCCAAGCAAGUCUUGUUUGCUUCGGAAGGUCGCAGGCGCCCAGGAAUGAACAGGAUAACUGCUAGUGGCUCCAGAUGUCAGAAAACAAAUGACGAGAUUGAGCACGCGCAGAUCUCUGGUUGGUCGGCUGUGUGCCUCCGGAAGGCCCGCCCUGCUCGUCCAAUCACCGAGAGGGAGGGCACGUUGAGGGUGAUGCCAGGAAUCAAGAUGGCCGCCUGGGACCGCUCUCAGCCCCUUCGGCCUCUACCUGAAGAGCCACGCCCCGUCUGCUACACCCAACCGGUUGGUUCCUGAAUCACAGAGAGGAAAGGCAACAUGAGGAUGACGUCACAUACAAACAUGGCGUUCUGGACGGGCUCAGUAGUUUGCUUGGCCUCAACUCAAGGAAUGCUGAUGGUAUAGCAAGAAGGUAUUCUGAGCAUUAUAUCAAUGGGGAAGUUCGAGAUCUUUUGCAGAGCAGGAGCAAGCUGCCCUGUUGUGAGUUCUCCGGUGGAGAGCCCCACAUGGCAAGAAAAUGAGAAGCCCCCUGGACAGACAAGAGCUGAGGCCCAGGAUACAAUAUCCUGAAAAAAAACUGAAUCCUGCUGACAAUUACCCAAGUGAAGCUGGAAGUGGAUCUUUCUGCAGUGGAACCUUGAGAUGAUUGCAGCCCUGGCUGACAACUUGAUUGCUGCCUGUGAAGGACUCUGAACCAGACGACUCAGCGAAAUUGUGCCCAGAUUCCUGACCUACAGAGGCAGUGAGAUAAUAAAUGCUGUUGUUUGAGGCCACAAAGUUUUGAGGUAUUUGUUAAUACAGCAAUGGAUACUUAAUACAGCUUCCUACAUGGUCUCCCUCCUUCGACCUUCACACUACAAUCUGUUGUCCACACAGCAGUCAGAGAUCCUUUUAAAACGUAAGUCAGAUCAUCAUGACACUCACCUCCCUGCUAAGUGGCCUGCAAGGCCUUUCACGGUCUGAUCCCCUAUCCUCUCUCUUUCCUCAUCUCCUGUCACUCUUCCCCUUGCAAAUUUUCUUCCAGCACUCUGGCCUCCUUGCUGUUCUUCAGUAUGGCAAGCAACCUGCUGCCCGGAGCCCACACGCUGACUGUCCCCUCUCCUAGGACACUCUUCCCUCAAGGGCUCCUAUAUCUUGCCUGCUGGCUCCCGCAUCUUCUUCAAGUCUCCUCAGAUGUCACCUUCUCAGGCCCAUCCUGGCUAUCCUCUUUCAGUUCUGACACAAAAUAAUUUAUCGCUUUAUUACAUCAUUAUUUUGUUGUCUUCCCUCCUUCUGUUCCUACUAAAAUUUCAUCUCUGGGAAAGCAGAAAACAUUGUCUUGUUCUUUCCUGUAACCCAAGUGCCUUGAACAUUGCCUCAUUAAUUGCUUGCGCUCAGUAAUAUGUGUUGAAUAAAUGGGUUAAGUAGUUUAUUAAUUGUGAAACUAAAUCCUGUCUGAAAGGUUUGGAGCAGCUUGUUGAAAUAGCAAACGGAGAUUCUGUGUUUUAAGUUGUGGCUAAGGUAGAAUCAUCCAUGAUGUAUGUGGAGCCAGAUCCUGUGUCCUGGACUUAAAUAUCUGUAUCUGACCUGUGGAUAAUUAUAUUGCUAUCCUACACCUUUGACCUAUUCAUCUCGGCUCACCUGUGAUCCAGGCUAUACUCCUAAAGUUGGGUGAGAGAGUCUGCAACACAAGGAAGACAUAGAGCCAUCAUUUAGUAAAUCAAACCCAUAAUAAUACAUUUUGUUGUUAAAUGUAGCCAAUCUCUGAGUAUUUUUUAUUAAAGUAUCUCUAAUGUUUAAAAGCA